GGGAGCAUGGGGUAGUCAGGCAUCCUAUCGGGCUCCAGUCAGGGUAUGUUUAGCAACGGGUCAUCUGAUUCAUGAUGAGUGACUGGAACUAAGAACCGGGAAGAGACCCGCAGAUCUGGGUUCAAAUCCCAGUGCUCCCA
rnacentral:tRNA from 1 species